AUGAACGCUGGCGGCGUGCCUAAUACAUGCAAGUCGAGCGAACGGACGAGAAGCUUGCUUCUCUGAUGUUAGCGGCGGACGGGUGAGUAACACGUGGAUAACCUACCUAUAAGACUGGGAUAACUUCGGGAAACCGGAGCUAAUACCGGAUAAUAUUUUGAACCGCAUGGUUCAAAAGUAAAAGACGGUCUUGCUGUCACUUAUAGAUGGAUCCGCGCUGCAUUAGCUAGUUGGUAAGGUAACGGCUUACCAAGGCAACGAUGCAUAGCCGACCUGAGAGGGUGAUCGGCCACACGGGAACUGAGACACGGUCCAGACUCCUACGGGAGGCAGCAGUAGGGAAUCUUCCGCAAUGGGCGAAAGCCUGACGGAGCAACGCCGCGUGAGUGAUGAAGGUCUUCGGAUCGUAAAACUCUGUUAUUAGGGAAGAACAUAUGUGUAAGUAACUGUGCACAUCUUGACGGUACCUAAUCAGAAAGCCACGGCUAACUACGUG
rnacentral:rRNA from 1 species